ACUUGUGUUAAUUACCUUGUUUGUAGGGGGAGGUGAGCGGCAUCACUGGUACUGAGGUAAUGGCUGCUCACAGUACCAGACAUGCCGCCCUCCUCCCCCUACAAAUAUCCCAGCACAGACCACGUGA